rnacentral:rRNA from 1 species
AACGAACGCUGGCGGCAGGCCUAACACAUGCAAGUCGAACGCUCUAGCAAUAGAGAGUGGCAGACGGGUGAGUAACGCGUGGGAACCUUCCCAAUGGUGCAGAAUAGCCCAGGGAAACUUGGGGUAAUACUGCAUAAGCCCUUCGGGGGAAAGAUUUAUCGCCAUUGGAUGGGCCCGCGUCGGAUUAGCUAGUUGGUGAGGUAGUGGCUCACCAAGGCAACGAUCCGUAGCUGGUUUGAGAGAAUGACCAGCCACACUGGGACUGAGACACGGCCCAGACUCCUACGGGAGGCAGCAGUGGGGAAUCUUGGACAAUGGGCGCAAGCCUGAUCCAGCCAUGCCGCGUGAGUGACGAAGGCCUUAGGGUUGUAAAGCUCUUUUGCCGGGGACGAUAAUGACGGUACCCGGAGAGUAAGUCCCGGCUAACUUCGUGCCAGCAGCCGCGGUAA